GAUGAACGCUAGCUACAGGCUUAACACAUGCAAGUCGCGGGGCAGCAUGGGGGUUGCUUGCACUCCCCGAUGGCGACCGGCGCACGGGUGAGUAACGCGUAUUCAACCUGCCCUUCACCACGGGAUAACCCGGCGAAAGUCGGACUAAUACCGUAUGUUGUCCAUUGACGGCAUCCGAUUUGGACGAAAGGCUUGGCGGUGAGGGAUGGGGAUGCGUCCGAUUAGCCAGACGGCGGGGUAACGGCCCACCGUGGCUACGAUCGGUAGGGGUUCUGAGAGGAAGGUCCCCCACGCUGGAACUGAGACACGGUCCAGACUCCUACGGGAGGCAGCAGUGAGGAAUAUUGGUCAAUGGGCGUAAGCCUGAACCAGCCAAGUAGCGUGCAGGAGGACGGCCCUAUGGGUUGUAAACUGCUUUUAUGCGGGGAUAAAGUGGCCCACGUGUGGGCUUUUGCAGGUACCGCAUGAAUAAGGACCGGCUAAUUCCGUG
rnacentral:rRNA from 1 species